ensembl:lncRNA
CGGCGCACGCGGCGCACAGAGGCUGUCGUAACGGCGUUUCUGGGAAACUGAUUCAAGCCGCUGCAGGAGACGAUGUAAAGUUUCCCCUCACAGAGGAGUGCAUGAAAGGAAGAGGCACGCUGAAACGUCGCCUGCAGGACAACAGCCUCCAUUCAGUCGGGGAUCUCGACGGCAGCUGGAAGCCGGCUCCAGGUUAUAUUAACAGGUUUUUCCAAAGCAGCGACUCUGUGAUGCUGACCAGUGCAGACAUCAGUGAUGAAGGCUAUUACGAGUUUGACUGCAACAACCAGAGAGAAGAGAGUGCACAGCUGCAGGUAUUCAUACCUUCUGAUGUUUUUGUACACGAGGGCGAGGAUGCCAUCCUCCCGUGCCGCUCCAUCACAGCAGGUCAGUGGGUGAAGUCUGUGCGCUGGAGGAGAGAUGGAGAGGUGGUGCUGGAUGUCCGGUCGGGGAAAACCACAUAUGGAAAAAGCUUUGAUGAAAGCCGGGUCUCAAUACCAUCAGACUGGGACCAACGAGCAAACCUGUCCCUCAUCAUAAAGCGAGCCGAGGCGAGAGACAGAGGAGUUUAUUACUGUGACAUCGACAAAGUGGAGAAACACCGCUCCGCUGUCCGCCUGCACGUCUCCACACCACCAACACCACCAACACCACGGAGCACCACAUCACAGCCUACAACCACAGAGAGGCCAUCAGAGUGCUCUGACUGGUCGUGGAGAACAUUCUCCAUAACAGCAGCUGUAUGUGUGAUCGUUGCCCUGCUUGUUUGGCUCUGCUGGUUUUUGAGGAACAGGAUAGACAAUGUGUGCACUCGAGGUUUUCUCUGCAACGACACAGAGGAGGGAAGAGGAGGGGCUGAAGAGAGCAGAGAAUCAGACUGUGACCAACAACACAUGCUAAAGUCAAACGGGAACCCUGACUUUACCCACCACUGAGGAAUGAAAAACAACAACAGCUAACCCCUUUAAGUAUCUGAACUCGCCACCUUUAUGACGGUACCACUGUGCAACUCCACUUUCUCAGGUUUACAAAUUCCCCGUUUUCCUUCUGCUGAAUCUGACUGCUGUUACAAUGUUUGAGAUUGUCUCUAUUAUUUUGUCUUCCAAUCAAUCAAGUAAUGCCGCUAAAUCGUCUGCUUACAUAAUCGGCAUAUAAUUUAGCUUCAAGAUGGAUAAAUGAGAUCUCUUCAAUAAUAACAUUUAUCCCUCACACAAAUAAAUAUGAGCUUCACACUUUUGUGCACACAACCCUAAAAUGUAACAGCACAACAAUCUGUGUCAAAACCUCAUGGAGCAGUUCAAUUAUUUGUUAUUUGUAACGUUUUAUAGCACUUUUAUUCUGCUUAUAUUAUUAUAUACUCAGUAUAUUGUCCUGCUAGUUUGUGUAGAUUUACAAUCUUUCCUCUGUUUACUUUUCUCUUUGUAAAAAGCCAAUAAAGUUGGUAACAAAGUCACGCUCUAACCUGAUGCAGAUAAAAAG